GUGUGUGUGCGUGUGCGCGCACUCCCACACCUUAUCACAUUAGGGCACAGUUGUGACUGAGACUAAGCCAUUUCUCCUCGUCCUGCCCUUUCCUUUCUUCCCUUCCUCUCCCUCCUGCCCUCCAGCUCCUUUUCUUUCUCUCUCCCCUUUAACCUUUCUCUUCAAAGUCUGCUGCAGGCGCUCCGCUUUCUUGCAAACCCAGGGUAAUUGAUCAUUAACAGCUUAGAGAGGUAUUAGUGAGGAGGAGUAAAGGGGGCCUUGCUUUUUCAAGUUUUUGCUUCAAAGAAACUCUCUGGCUAAAAAGGAUGAAACUGUUGAUCAGGAUAUUGGGGCUGGAACCUACUGCUUGCAAGUAUCACUUCAGUCAAGGACCCUAGGAUUUUUUUUUCCUUAGAGAAGAACUUGUACUAAUUAACUAACUAACUAACUGACUAACUAACUAACUAACUAACUAAAAAGUGACCACUGUUUUCCAAAACAUUAUCAGAGACAAGAGAGAUGACUUUGGUGUUGGCUUGCCGUAGUUGACAGAAAGAUGCCUGCAGAAGAGCGAGCAGUGAAACAUUCUCAGACAGGGGCUUGUUUGUGUUUAUUUGGCUUCCUCUGCAAAGUGCUCUAGCUGGACGUAAUCAGCGCCGUCCCUCGGCCUUUGUAGCGGCUUCGAGUAAUGGUGUGCAGAUGUCCAAUGUGACGUGUCUGGGCACCAGCAUCCCACACAGAGACAGACUCCAUACCCACUAAACAUGAACUCCCCAUCAUCUCUUCCUUGC